CAGCCGCCGCGGUAAAACCAGCACCUCAAGUGGUCAGGAUGAUUAUUGGGCCUAAAGCAUCCGUAGCCGGCUCUGUAAGUUUUCGGUUAAAUCUGUACGCUCAACGUACAGGCUGCCGGGAAUACUGCAGAGCUAGGGAGUGGGAAAGGUAGACGGUACUCGGUAGGAAGGGGUAAAAUCCUUUGAUCUAUUGAUGACCACCUGUGGCGAGGGCGGUCUACCAGAACACGUCCGACGGUGAGGGAUGAAAGCUGGGGGAGCAAACCGGAUUAGGUACCCGGGUAGUCCCAGCUGUAAACUAUGCAAACUCAGUGAUGCAUUGGCUUGUGGCCAAUGCAGUGCUGCAGGAAAGCCGUUAAGUUUGCCGCCUGGGAGGUACGUACGCAAGUAUGAAACUUAAAGGAAUUGGCGGGGGAGCAC
rnacentral:rRNA from 2 species